GGUAGAGCACUGUUUCGGCUAGGGGGCCAUCCCGGCUUACCAACCCGAUGCAAACUACGAAUACCGAAGAAUGUUAUCACGGGAGACACACGGCGGGUGCUAACGUCCGUCGUGAAGAGGGAAACAACCCAGACCGCCAGCUAAGGUCCCAAAGUCAUGGUUAAGUGGGAAACGAUGUGGGAAGGCCCAGACAGCCAGGAUGUUGGCUUAGAAGCAGCCAUCAUUUAAAGAAAGCGUAAUAGCUCACUGGUCGAGUCGGCCUGCGCGGAAGAUGUAACGGGGCUAAACCAUGCACCGAAGCUGCGGCAGCGACACUAUGUGUUGUUGGGUAGGGGAGCGUUCUGUAAGCCGUUGAAGGUGUGCUGUGAGGCAUGCUGGAGGUAUCAGAAGUGCGAAUGCUGACAUAAGUAACGAUAAAGCGGGUGAAAAGCCCGCUCGCCGGAAGACCAAGGGUUCCUGUCCAACGUUAAUCGGGGCAGGGUGAGUCGACCCCUAAGGCGAGGCCGAAAGGCGUAGUCGAUGGGAAACAGGUUAAUAUUCCUGUACUUGGUGUUACUGCGAAGGGGGGACGGAGAAGGCUAUGUCAGCCGGGCGACGGUUGUCCCGGUUUAAGCAUGUAGGCGGAGGUUCCAGGUAAAUCCGGUACCUUAUUAACGCUGAGGUGUGAUGACGAGGCACUACGGUGCUGAAGUGAUAAAUGCCCUGCUUCCAGGAAAAGCCUCUAAGCAUCAGGUAACACGAAAUCGUACCCCAAACCGACACAGGUGGUCAGGUAGAGAAUACCAAGGCGCUUGAGAGAACUCGGGUGAAGGAACUAGGCAAAAUGGUGCCGUAACUUCGGGAGAAGGCACGCUGAUAUGUAGGUGAAG
rnacentral:rRNA from 1 species